AGAGAAAAGAGAUUCUGAAAAUUAUGCAAAUUGAGGGGUACUUCAGAUCUGGAAAAUAUAACCUGAUUUUGAACUCCAGAGAAGCACAACAGAGCCACUACAUCUGGUUUCAGAUUAUUCCCAAACAUCAGAAGCUCAGUGUUUAAAGGGACAGUCCAGUACCUAAGGAAAUAAUCAGUGUAAUCAAAUGCAAUCAUUGCUGUAGCAGCAACUUCUUCCAGAUCAGUGGAGAAAAUGCUUGUUUCAAACUUGGGUCUGUAACUUAGUUGUAAACUAAAAAUCUCGUAUGAGGACUGCAUUCUCUUGAAACAGCUCUUGAAAUUUGGAAAGUUAUUUAAAGAAUCUUUUGAAUUCC